rnacentral:tRNA from 1 species
UCCUUACUGGCUCUGGUUAGUAAAGAAUCUGCUUGCAAUGCAGGAGAUCCAGGUUCAAUCCCUGGGUAGGGAA